UGCUUUGCCGCCCACCAGGUUGUUGUGGAGAAUGAAAAUGAUCUGUCUGGGGUUCUUCUUUUUGGCAGCUUUCUCAGGUGUCAGCUCCCAGAUCCAGCUGACUCAGUCCGGGGCAGAAAUCAAGAAGCCUGGAGAGUCUGCGAAGGUGACAUGUAAAACCUCCGGCUACACCUUUACCAGCUCCAAUAUUAACUGGAUGCGGCAGGCUCCCGGGAAAGCACUGGAGUGGAUCGUAUAUAUCAGUCCCAGUAGUGGUGGCACUGGCUAUGCCCAGGCCUUCCAGGGGCGAUUCACCAUCACCAGGGACACCUCCAUAAGCACGGCCUAUCUGCAGCUGGGCAGCCUGAGAACCGAGGACACGGCCACGUAUUACUGUGCUAGGGACACAGUGACACAAACCACAGCUACAGCCAUUCAAAAACCCUCAACAGACCAGAGCGAGUCUGUCCAUACAGAGCAAACUGGACAGGGCUUCCUGGAGUCCCACCUUCCAAAGCGAGAAAUGAACCUCUCGUCCGAUCCCCCGCACCGCACCUCUUCGGCGGGUUCCGAUAAAACCUUCUUCCCUUGCUGCUGUGACAAGGCUGGCUCUGGGAUCCUAGCCUGCCAGGUCACAGAGGUGACAGACACAUAA